GGUUCUCUCCGAAAUAGCUUUAGGGCUAGCCUCAAGUGAUGAUUAUUGGAGGUAGAGCACUGUUUGGACGAGGGGCCCCUCUCGGGUUACCGAAUUCAGACAAACUCCGAAUGCCAAUUAAUUUAACUUGGGAGUCAGAACAUGGGUGAUAAGGUCCGUGUUCGAAAGGGAAACAGCCCAGACCACCAGCUAAGGUCCCAAAAUAUAUGUUAAGUGGAAAAGGAUGUGGCGUUGCCCAGACAACUAGGAUGUUGGCUUAGAAGCAGCCAUCAUUUAAAGAGUGCGUAAUAGCUCACUAGUCGAGUGACACUGCGCCGAAAAUGUACCGGGGCUAAACAUAUUACCGAAGCUGUGGAUUGUCCUUUGGACAAUGGUAGGAGAGCGUUCUAAGGGCGUUGAAGCAUGAUCGUAAGGACAUGUGGAGCGCUUAGAAGUGAGAAUGCCGGUGUGAGUAGCGAAAGACGGGUGAGAAUCCCGUCCACCGAUUGACUAAGGUUUCCAGAGGAAGGCUCGUCCGCUCUGGGUUAGUCGGGUCCUAAGCUGAGGCCGACAGGCGUAGGCGAUGGAUAACAGGUUGAUAUUCCUGUACCACCUAUAAUCGUUUUAAUCGAUGGGGGGACGCAGUAGGAUAGGCGAAGCGUGCGAUUGGAUUGCACGUCUAAGCAGUAAGGCUGAGUAUUAGGCAAAUCCGGUACUCGUUAAGGCUGAGCUGUGAUGGGGAGAAGACAUUGUGUCUUCGAGUCGUUGAUUUCACACUGCCGAGAAAAGCCUCUAGAUAGAAAAUAGGUGCCCGUACCGCAAACCGACACAGGUAGUCAAGAUGAGAAUUCUAAGGUGAGCGAGCGAACUCUCGUUAAGGAACUCGGCAAAAUGACCCCGUAACUUCGGGAGAAGGGGUGCUCUUUAGGGUUAACGCCCAGAAGAGCCGCAGUGAAUAGGCCCAAGCGACUGUUUAUCAAAAACACAGGUCUCUGCUAAACCGUAAGGUGAUGUAUAGGGGCUGACGCCUGCCCGGUGCUGGAAGGUUAAGAGGAGUGGUUAGCUUCUGCGAAGCUACGAAUCGAAGCCCCAGUAAACGGCGGCCGUAACUAUAACGGUCCUAAGGUAGCGAAAUUCCUUGUCGGGUAAGUUCCGACCCGCACGAAAGGCGUAACGAUUUGGGCACUGUCUCAACGAGAGACUCGGUGAAAUCAUAGUACCUGUGAAGAUGCAGGUUACCCGCGACAGGACGGAAAGACCCCGUGGAGCUUUACUGUAGCCUGAUAUUGAAAUUCGGCACAGCUUGUACAGGAUAGGUAGGAGCCUUUGAAACGUGAGCGCUAGCUUACGUGGAGGCGCUGGUGGGAUACUACCCUAGCUGUGUUGGCUUUCUAACCCGCACCACUUAUCGUGGUGGGAGACAGUGUCAGGCGGGCAGUUUGACUGGGGCGGUCGCCUCCUAAAAGGUAACGGAGGCGCUCAAAGGUUCCCUCAGAAUGGUUGGAAAUCAUUCAUAGAGUGUAAAGGCAUAAGGGAGCUUGACUGCGAGACCUACAAGUCGAGCAGGGUCGAAAGACGGACUUAGUGAUCCGGUGGUUCCGCAUGGAAGGGCCAUCGCUCAACGGAUAAAAGCUACCCCGGGGAUAACAGGCUUAUCUCCCCCAAGAGUUCACAUCGACGGGGAGGUUUGGCACCUCGAUGUCGGCUCAUCGCAUCCUGGGGCUGUAGUCGGUCCCAAGGGUUGGGCUGUUCGCCCAUUAAAGCGGUACGCGAGCUGGGUUCAGAACGUCGUGAGACAGUUCGGUCCCUAUCCGUCGUGGGCGUAGGAAAUUUGAGAGGAGCUGUCCUUAGUACGAGAGGACCGGGAUGGACAUACCUCUGGUGUACCAGUUGUCGUGCCAACGGCAUAGCUGGGUAGCUAUGUGUGGACGGGAUAAGUGCUGAAAGCAUCUAAGCAUGAAGCCCCCCUCAAGAUGAGAUUUCCCAACUUCGGUUAUAAGAUCCCUCAAAGAUGAUGAGGUUAAUAGGUUCGAGGUGGAAGCAUGGUGACAUGUGGAGCUGACGAAUACUAAUCGAUCGAAGACUUAAUCAA
rnacentral:rRNA from 1 species